rnacentral:rRNA from 1 species
GACGAACGCUGGCGGCGUGCCUAAUACAUGCAAGUAGAACGCAGUUGCGAACGGGUGAGUACCGCGUAGGUAACUGCCUCAUAGCGGGGGAUAACGAAUGGAAACGAAAGCUAAUACCGCAUACUGUGAGAUGGACCUCCGGUGUGUUUGGUAGUUGGGUAGGUAAAGGCUCAACAAGGCGACGAUACAGAGCCGCCCUGGGAGGGUGAUCGGCCACACUGGGAAUGUGACACGGCCCAGACUCCCACGGGGGGCAGCAGUAGGGAAUCUUCGGACAUGGUCGGAAGUCUGAACGAGCAACGCCGCGUGAGUGAAGAAGGUUUUCGGAUCGUAAAGCUCUGUUGUUAGAGAAGCGUUAACUAACCAGAAAGGGACGGCUAACUACGUGCCAGCAGCCGCGGUAAUUC